AUGGGCAGGUUUUUCCAAGUGGCUGCAAGUGAUGAGAUUUCACCCAUUUCUAUGAUUGAAGAAUAUUCUGCUCUGUAUGUAUAUUGCAGUUUCCUCAUCCCUUCAUCAAUGGAUGAACAGUCUAUCAUUGAUGGGCAUGUGGGUUGGUCCCAUGCCUUUCCUAUUGUGAAUAAUGCUGUAAAAAACAUACGUGGAGCAGAUGGUGCUCAGAGCAAGAUGGGCCUCUGAGCAAGAUGGAGCUCCAAGCAUGAUGGAGCUUGGAUAGAGCAGAUAGAGCUCCAGGGGAGAUGGAGCUCUGAGCAGUAUGAACCUCACAGCAGAUGGACCUCUGAACAAGAUGGAGCUUCAAGCAUGAUUGAGCUUGGAUGGAGCAGAUGAAACUCCAGGUGAGAUGGAGCUCUGAGCAUUAUGAACCUCACAGCAGAUGUUAUGCAGAGUAACAUGGAGCUCCAAGCAUAUGGUCUCAGGGCAAAAUGGAGCUCAGAGCAGAUGGUGCUCAGAGCAGGAUGGAGCUUGGAGUGACUAGAGCUCCAACCU
rnacentral:lncRNA from 1 species